CUCCCUUAAUUUUUAGGAUCUCUAGUUUGGUUUUCUUCUGGGGAGUUUUAAUUUGUUCAUUUUCAAGUUUUUUGAUUUGCGUUUCCCAAUUCAUUGAUCUCUGCCCUCCCUAAUUUGUUAAUAUAUGCACUCAGGGAUAUGAAUUUUCCUCUAAGUACUGCCUUGGCUGAAUCCCAUAAGGUUUGAAAGGAUGUCUCACCAUUGUCAUUUUCCUCAAUGAAAUUAUUGUUUCUAUGAUUUCUUCUCUAACUAACUGAUUUUGGAGUAUCAUAUUAUUUAAUUUCCAAUUAAUUUUUGAUUUGGCUCUCCAUGUACCCAUACUCAUCAAUAUUUUUAUUGCUUUAUGAUCUGAAAAGGUUGCAUUUAUUAUAUCUGCUUUUCUGCAUUUGAGUGCCAUGUUUCUGUGACCUAGUAUAUGAUCUAUUUUUGUGAAUGUGCCAUGUGGUGCUGAGAAGAAGGUAUAUUCCUUUAUUUCUCUAUUAACUCUAAUUUUUCUAAGAUUUCAUUCACCUCUUUUACCUCUUUCUUAUUUAUUUUUUUGGUUUGAUUCAUCUAAAUUUGAUAGUGGUUGGUUCAAGUCUCCCACUAAUAUGGUUUUACUGUCUAUUUCCUCCUUCAUUUCUCCUAGUUUCUCCAUUAAAAAUUUGGAUGCUAUUCCAUUUGGUGCAUACAUGUUGAUUAGUGAUAUUUCCUCAUUGUCUAUAUUCCCUUUUAACAGAAUAUAUUUACCUUCCAUAUCCCUUUUGAUCAGGUCUAUUUGUGCUUUGGCUUUUUCAGAUAUCAUGAUUGCAACUCCUGCCUUCUUUCUAUCUGUUGAGGCCCAAAAGGACUUUCUCCAUCCUUUAAUUCUAACCGUGCACUUUUGCAAAGCAGAUAAAAGGAAGAUCAAGCUCUGGCAGCAGUCUCUGAAGCAGUAGAAGGAUUUACUGUGACCACAAAUCAAUCUAAUUAUUUAUUGGAAAAGGAUUUUGCUAUUGUCAGACACCUUUUUUUAUUUAAACUUAUUUUAAUUAGAAUUGAAGCCAGGAAGAUAAAAUUUUUAAUGAUUAUGGUAAGGAGAAUAUAAAUAAGAUAGAGAAUAAAAAUACAGAAUUGACAUUUACUGUAUAAAGA
rnacentral:lncRNA from 1 species